rnacentral:rRNA from 1 species
CCUACGGGAGGCAGCAGUGGGGAAUAUUGCACAAUGGGCGGAAGCCUGAUGCAGCAACGCCGCGUGCGGGAUGACGGCCUUCGGGUUGUAAACCGCUUUCACCCAUGACGAAGCGCGAGUGACGGUAGUGGGGGAAGAAGCACCGGCCAACUACGUGCCAGCAGCCGCGGUGAUACGUAGGGUGCGAGCGUUGUCCGGAAUUAUUGGGCGUAAAGAGCUUGUAGGCGGUUGAUCGCGUCGAUAGUGAAAUCCCGGGGCUCAACCUCGGGCUUGCUGUCGAUACGGGUUGACUUGAGGAAGGUAGGGGAGAAUGGAACUCCCGGUGGAGCGGUGGAAUGCGCAGAUAUCGGGAAGAACACCGGUGGCGAAGGCGGUUCUCUGGACCUUUCCUGACGCUGAGAA